AGGGAAUUUUGCGCAAUGGAGGAAACUCUGACGCAGCAACGCCACGUGUGGGAUGAAGCAUUUCGGUGUAUAAACCACUGUCAGCAGGGAAUAAAUAGUCUCUUCGGAGGCGGUUGAAUGUACCUGCAAAGGAAGCCCCGGCUAACUUCGUGCCAGCAGCCGCGGUAAUACGAGGGGGGCAAAUGUUGUUCGGAAUCACUGGGCGUAAAGGGAGCGUAGGCGGGCUUCUAAGUUGGAUGUUUAACCCCGGGGCCCAACCCCGGACCGGCAUCCAAAACUGGAAGUCUUGAAUAGUGGAGAGGACGGCGGAAUUGGGGGUGUAGCGGUGGAAUGCGUAGAGAUCCCCAAGAACACCAGUUGCGAAGGCGGCCGUCUGGACACAUAUUGACGCUGAGGCUCGAAAGCAUGGGGAGCAAAC
rnacentral:rRNA from 1 species